rnacentral:lncRNA from 1 species
UCUUGAUAAAUCCUUUGUGAACACACAGUAAAACUGAUGAGGCCAUUUCCAGCUCUGGCUAUCAUCAACACGUCUUAGAGUCCUCCCUUGGUGGCAUCUCUUGGGACUUUGGUGGGUGUCCUUGGGGUUCUCCACUGGGGGGAGACCAGGCAUGGAGGGGACCCAUACGUCUCCAUUCCCAGUCAAGCGCUCCAGACCUCCAGGACCUCGAUGAGGCUGUUAAGGAAACACAUUAAACACUGCGCUUCUGAAGCCGCCUGGGGUGAUUAAAACCCGAGCUGUGAUUAAAGGAGGUUGGAUG